rnacentral:rRNA from 1 species
UGACGCUAAAGCUCGAAGGUGCGGGUAUCGAACAGGAUUAGAUACCCUGGUAGUCCGCACGGUAAACGAUGGAUGCCCGCUGUUGGCGAUACAAUGUCAGCGGCCAAGCGAAAGCGUUAAGCAUCCCACCUGGGGAGUACGCCGGCAACGGUGAAACUCAAAGGAAUUGACGGGGGCCCGCACAAGCGGAGGAACAUGUGGUUUAAUUCGAUGAUACGCGAGGAACCUUACCCGGGCUUGAACUGCAGCAGAACGAUUCAGAGAUGAAGAGGCCCUUCGGGGCUGCUGUGGAGGUGCUGCAUGGUUGUCGUCAGCUCGUGCCGUGAGGUGUCGGCUUAAGUGCCAUAACGAGCGCAACCCCUUUCAUUAGUUGCCAUCAGGUAAUGCUGGGCACUCUGGUGAUACUGCCACCGUAAGGUGUGAGGAAGGUGGGGAUGACGUCAAAUCAGCACGGCCCUUACGUCCGGGGCUACACACGUGUUACAAUGGGUGGUACAGAGAGUCAGUGGGUCGCAAGUCCCAUUCAAUCAUGAAAGCCAUCCUCAGUUCGGAUUGGGGUCUGCAACCCGACCCCAUGAAGCUGGAUUCGCUAGUAAUCGC